rnacentral:rRNA from 1 species
GUACAGAACGACUCUCGGCAACGGAUAUCUCGGCUCCUGCAUCGAUGAAGAACGCAGCGAAAUGCGAUACUUGGUGUGAAUUGCAGAAUCCCGUGAACCAUCGAGUCUUUGAACGCAAGUUGCGCCCGAAGCCCUUAGGCUGAGGGCACGCCUGCCUGGGUGUCACCAA